GAUGAACGCUGGCGGCGUGCCUAAUACAUGCAAGUCGAGCGAACAGACGAGGAGCUUGCUCCUCUGACGUUAGCGGCGGACGGGUGAGUAACACGUGGAUAACCUACCUAUAAGACUGGGAUAACUUCGGGAAACCGGAGCUAAUACCGGAUAAUAUAUUGAACCGCAUGGUUCAAUAGUGAAAGACGGUUUUGCUGUCACUUAUAGAUGGAUCCGCGCCGCAUUAGCUAGUUGGUAAGGUAACGGCUUACCAAGGCGACGAUGCGUAGCCGACCUGAGAGGGGGGUCGGCCACACUGGAACUGAGACACGGUCCAGACUCCGACGGUAGGCAGCAGUAGGGAAUCUUCCGCAAUGGGCGAAAGGGGGACGGAGCAAAGUCGCGUGAGGGAUGAAGGUCUUCGGAUCGUAAAACUCUGUUAUUAGGGAAGAACAAAUGUGUAAGUAACUAUGCACGUCUUGACGGUACCUAAUCAGAAAGCCACGGCUAACUACGUG
rnacentral:rRNA from 1 species